rnacentral:lncRNA from 1 species
UUGUUUUCCUUAUUCCUCCAGGAUUGAUAUACAACUGAAGUAAAGAUUAUCAGAAGACAUCAGUUAUUCAUGAAGAACAGCUCUACUACAAUAAGAUAUGGAUCGGUGAAUUUGAUUAUAAAAUUUCAUCUUCAUUCUCAUAGACGAACAUUGGAAUACCUUCUAUAGAGUGAAGCCUUCAACGAUUCUUAUAAUAAAGCCUAUGUUCUUACGUCCGGAAUUUUAUUAGUGAAGUUCAGUACCGAAGUUAACUAGUGCAAUUACAACAGUGAUAAUUCAGUGGUUAGUGAAGUGAAUGUAUAACUGUUUUUACUUCAAGACGAAGGUUUGGCUACCCUACUUCAUGACUUAAAGAUUAUAAAAUUUCAUCUUCAUUCUCAUAGACGAACAUUGGAAUACCUUCUAUAGAGUGAAGCCUUCAACGAUUCUUAUAAUAAAGCCUAUGUUCUUACGUCCGGAAUUUUAUUAGUGAAGUUCAGUACCGAAGUUAACUAGUGCAAUUACAACAGUGAUAAUUCAGUGGUUAGUGAAGUGAAUGUAUAACUGUUUUUACUUCAAGACGAAGGUUUGGCUACCCUACUUCAUGACUUAGAGAAAUGUCAAAUUGUUGUCGAGAUGAAAGUGAGGUGUUUGAGGUGGCUGGGACACGUUGAGAGGAUGAGUGACUCAAGAGUUGUAAAACAGGUCCUCAGAAACAACCCAGGAGGGAGAAGGCUGAGAAGACGUCCGCGAAAGCGUUGGCUGGAGGAUUUGGAGGACGAUAUUAGGUGGCUGGGUGUCAGGGGAUGGAGACGAAAGGCUGCUGAUAGAGACGAAUGGAGAGGCUUUCUGAAGGAGGUCAAGGCUCAGAAUUAGCUGUAGUGCCAAGGAGUAAGUAAGUAUUUGUUUUCACUUUUUGUGUAGUUGAGAAGUUGAUAUUGUGGUAAUUAUUCAUAUUAAAUAAGAAGACUAACAAAUUGUCAAAAAAUAUCACAGAUUUAUUG